UACGUAGGGCGCAAGCGUUGUCCGGAAUUAUUGGGCGUAAAGAGCUCGUAGGUGGCGUGUCGCGUCUGCCGUGAAAGCCCAUGGCUUAACUGUGGGUCUGCGGUGGAUACGGGCAGGCUGGAGGCUGGUAGGGGCAAGCGGAAUUCCAGGUGUAGCGGUGAAAUGCGUAGAUAUCUGGAGGAACACCGGUGGCGAAGGCGGCAUCCUGGACCGAUACUGACGCUGAGGAGCGAAAGCCAGGGGAGCAAACGGG
rnacentral:rRNA from 1 species